GACGAACGCUGGCGGCGUGCUUAACACAUGCAAGUCGAACGGUGAACGAGGGAGCUUGCUCCCUCCGGAUCAGUGGCGAACGGGUGAGUAACACGUGAGCAAUCUGCCCCGGACUCUGGGAUAAGCGUUGGAAACGACGUCUAAUACCGGAUACGACGCGGGAGGGCAUCCUCUCCGCGUGGAAAGAACUUCGGUUCGGGAUGAGCUCGCGGCCUAUCAGCUUGUUGGUGAGGUAACGGCUCACCAAGGCGACGACGGGUAGCCGGCCUGAGAGGGUGACCGGCCACACUGGGACUGAGACACGGCCCAGACUCCUACGGGAGGCAGCAGUGGGGAAUAUUGCACAAUGGGCGCAAGCCUGAUGCAGCAACGCCGCGUGAGGGACGACGGCCUUCGGGUUGUAAACCUCUUUUAGCAGGGAAGAAGCGAAAGUGACGGUACCUGCAGAAAAAGCACCGGCUAACUACGUG
rnacentral:rRNA from 1 species